CCGGUAGCUCAGUCGGUAGAGCAGAGGAUUGAAAAUCCUUGUGUCGGUGGUUCGAUUCCGCCCCA
rnacentral:tRNA from 2 species